rnacentral:lncRNA from 1 species
GAGAGUAUAAAUUCUGAAUUCAAUAGUAAGUUAUUUAAUAUUUCUAUAAAAUAUCAGUCAUUAAUAAACGUCAUUGCAUAAUAUAUAUUUUAUUAGAUUGUUGUACGCCCUCGGAAUGCGUUGAUUACGCUUUCCUUAACAUAAGUAUGUACAGUGAAAUUAAUUAUAUAAAUGUAUAUUGAGUACUUCAGUGUUUAACACUGUAACGUUGAUAUCAGUGAAUUUAUACCACUAUAUGCAAAAGUGUUGUGUCUUAUGUUGAUUAUAACAUUUUAAUGAUAUUCUUAUCAACGUAAUGCAUUGUUAUAAAUUAUAAUUUUAUUAUAAUACUACAGCUACAAUUAGAAAUCUUGUCAUAAUGCAAUUUUUGGGGUCCAAAAACAUUUUCUCCUAUCAAUAUACUGUCCCUUAUAAAAAUACUUAGGUAGAUAAAAUAAACGGUAGUUUUUAGUUUAUUAAACCUAUAUGAAAAAAAAAUAAAAAAUAAAAUCGACGUUUUUUUUUUAAAAGUACAAGUAAAUUCAUUAGCUUCGAUAAUGAGUAUAAAAACUUUUUGGAAAAAACUGCCUAUACUCUGGCUAUGGAUUUGAACUUCAACUGCUCAAAGUUGAUAUCAAUUUUUCAAGACUACAAAUAUAAAAUACAUUCCUCGCUCCACUUAGAAUCUAAAAUGCUUAAUGUGUUAAAAUUACGUAAAACUGUAUAGAGAACUAUAAUAAUAAUAAUUACUGAAUAGUUUAUUAAUAACUGGAAGCCAAAUAUAAAUUUGAAACUGAAACAAAGAAACGUAUUUUAUUCUUGAACAUGUUUUUUAUGUUUUUUUUUUUUUUUGUUUGUUUUGACAUAAUGAAAUAUACGCUGACGGUUUUAUUUCGAUUUUCUAGAUUUUAAUGCACUAAAAUCGAGUGAGUGUUAGUUUGUUUUAAAUCAUUCAGUGAGUUAUGGGGACUUUUUGUUGUAGGUACGUUAUGUAUUUAUUAAUGGUUGAGCACGGACAGUCGUGACAAUUAAUUUAUUGACUUCAGAAAACGUUUUCCAAUCGUAACCCUUUGGCCUAAAAUGUUACAUCGUGUUAAAAAAAACUUUAUACCUAACCUAUAUCUACAUGUUUGAAUUGGAAGACUAUUAAUCCUCCUAAAAUCCAAACAAACGACUACUUGUUUACGACUUUUAAUUGUUAAAAUAUUAUUAUAUAAAAUGUUCCCAUGUAGGUAAUAAACAAAUUUAAAAAUUCUAUUUACGUUUAUUUAUUAUUUGUAGUGUCAUCGAAGAAAUAUUUCAUAACGCUUUAUGAAAAUAUAGCAGUCGGUGUGUAUUAUUUUAGCCGUAUAUAGACGUAUUGAAAUGGGUUUUUUUUUUUUUAGGACGGGUAAGGAGGGGUUUUCGAAAUACACAUUUUGAGUCAAUUUUCAAAAUAUUGUAUCACUUACGGUGCGGGCAUUCUUUUAUUUAAAUUUUGAAAAUGAAAACAUACCUAUUUCCAGAACCAGGUCCGAAUAGAUCAACUGUUUCUUUAAAUCAACUUUGUUUAAUACAAUUUUUAUCUAUCUCGAAAAUAGCCUGAGAAAUAACGAUCUAAAAGAUGAUUAAAAAAUAAUAUGAUUUUUUUUCUCGAUUUUUCCAAACAUUUAAAACGUAUGUUGUAUAUUAUUAUGUAUUAUAUUUGUGUUAUUUUUACCCAAAGAAUAUAUUUAUGAAAAUCGCCUUAAAAUGUGUACCUAUUCGAUUGUUGAUACCUACAUUUACGUGUGACCUUCCUGAAUAAAAUCCCAUUACAUUAUGAGUCCACCUGGCUUAUACAUUUUGUGUUAUCAUAUCCACAGUGUUUUGUUAAAAGGGCGUGUACCACUUUUCUGCAUGCAAAAAGAUUGUUUUGCAAAGAAACAACAAAACAGUUUUUAUUGAUGUUUAUCAUGGAAAAUAAUGAUAGAAUUAAUCAUACACAACAUAAUACCUUGUACACAAAGUAUAUAUGCAUUGAAUGUGACAUACACCUUUUUAAAUAAAUCAGUGUUGAUUUAAUUAUAUUUUAAAAGGGAGCCUGGAUAUUUUUUAGUUUACAUUACCAACUUAAUUUUCUGUAUUUAAACACGCCCUUUUAGAUUUACCAGUUUAUGCACCUAAUUUAGAUUGUGAGUGGAGCCAAGAAGCUUAUAAUUUCACAAUAUUUAUUUUUUUUUACCCGUGAACAACUUUUCUACCGGUAAUUUUGCUCCAAUUCACAAUAAUAGCACUUUUUCUAGUAGGAAAUUUGACUGAAGAGGUAUUUUAAGGAGGUUAUUUUUUGAUUUUUCCUGGAGUUUUCUCAAUAAAUGGGAAAAAACGGUAAAAUAGGUACAAUAUCAAACAAAUAUUAUUAAAGAAAAUGUUUGAUACAUAAUGUAUAUGCUAUUAUUUUAUCAUAAUAUGAUAUACAUAUGUUGUUAACAAAUCAACAAUAUCAACAAAAUUCCGCUCAGAAUCAUUUUUAGUUAGAAAUGGUUAAUACUUAAUCGUUGAUUACAGAUAUAUAUUAAAUUCUGGUCUAUAUCCUACCUUCUCAACUUCUCACCUACAACAGUAGCUUUUUUGAUACCAAAAACGUAUUUUUCGAUUUUUAAUGGUACAUGCCCUUUUAAUAAAAUGCCGUCCAAUUAUAUAGAACACUGUAUAAUAUUAUUAAUUAUUAUUCAUUAUAUUGAAUCAAAUAUUUUAAUAAAUAUUUUAAUCGAAUCAAAACGUAAAGAAACUUUUCUUAUUGAAUACAGGAACAAUGCAAACGCCGAUGAAAUUUUGCUUCGAUAAAGUAACGAAUGGUACGUAUACAUAAGUUAUAUGCAGUUAAGUCUAUACAUAAGUUCAAUCAUAGUUCUGAGAUAAUUAUAAAUAUACUAACUGUCCCGCCUGGUGAUGCCUGGUCAAUUUUAGAUUCUGAGUAGAGCGAGGAAUGUAUUUGUUUUACAAUAUGUAUAUUUUUUUUUCUGUGAACAACAUUUCUACCAGCAAUUUCGUUCCGAUUUACAACGAUAACACUUUUUCUGAAAAUAAUGAUUUCGAAUAUUUUACCACGUCUGGGUAAGUCCAAUAUAAGUAUUAGUACCAAGUUUCAAGUCUCUACGUGUAUUUAUAACCGCAUUACAGAAAAAAAAAUUCCCUAAAAAUUAAAAUCCCUUAAGAAAGUAAAUCAAAAAGGCAACAAAAAAGGUAUCUUGUGAUAUAAAAACAUCGUCUGUGUUUUUAUAAAAUAAUGAAACCGUGAAGUUAUACGUUUUCCUACGUUUUUUCCUACUUUAGUGAUUUUAUUUGAGCUUUCAAAAAAGUUGCUACACGUAAAUUUUACGUAUAUUUUAGAGUUUCUAUCUUGAAUUGUUAAAAAAAAAAAUUCCGAAAAAAAGUUAAUACUUCAGAUAUACCUGAAAUUCUGUACAUCUAAAUUAUAAUAUUCGUCUAUUUAUUAAUUUUAUAGAUUCCAAGAUAAAGUCACAGUUUUUGGGCAGUAAGUUUAUGUAUUAUAUUAGAUAGUACCUGUAAAUAGAUUCGAAUUUUUCCCACCUAAUAAAAAAAAAAAAAUUAAAUAAUAAUUAUAAAAUAACUGUUACAAGUCAAAAAGUGAAGAAAUGCAUGUAAUUAUAUUGAUGAGAUUUGUUUUUGCCAUGUUUAUAAAAAAAAUAGACAAAGAAUUCAAUCGAUAUUUGAUGGGU